GACUGCUCCGGUGGCCUCGUGGUUAGAGUGUCCGCCUCGGAUGCGAGAGGUCGUGGGUUCGAUCCCCAGUUGAGUCA